GUCCCCGGGGGGUAAGCAACCCACUCCCAAAUAGUAACGCCGAAUAGAAUAUGUUGGGGAGGGCUGGUGGUUCGAAUCCACCCGGGGACA